rnacentral:rRNA from 1 species
CAGCAGCCGCGGUAACACGUAGGGCGCAAGCGUUAUCCGGAAUUAUUGGGCGUAAAGAGCUCGUAGGCGGUUUGUCGCGUCUGCUGUGAAAUCUGGGGGCUCAACCCCCAGCCUGCAGUGGGUACGGGCAGACUAGAGUGCGGUAGGGGAGAUUGGAAUUCCUGGUGUAGCGGUGGAAUGCGCAGAUAUCAGGAGGAACACCGAUGGCGAAGGCAGAUCUCUGGGCCGUAACUGACGCUGAGGAGCGAAAGGGUGGGGAGCAAACAGGCUUAGAUACCCGCGUAGUCCCUGUCUCUUAUAC